rnacentral:lncRNA from 1 species
GCACAAUGUUGACUCUCAGGAAGGAGACAAAAGGGGAAGAUUUGUUGGUAGGAAUUCUGGAAAAGGGUUUUCUCUCUGCCCAAAACAGAAAGAUGUAAGAGAAGGCUGCUGUCCUCCUUACUUCCUAGUUUUUAAGACUGAAGUGUUGCAGGUGUGACACUUGAGGCCACAGCAUCCUGCAACCAUGCACGUGGCAGCACUCGGGACACAGGAUGAGGUUACAGUGGAAAGAUGUGAAGCACUUGGAUUCAUUUGACAUCAACGAACCACCCAUCAAACUCUCAGGCCAUCUUAAACUAACGGUCGGCCCAAGUCCAGGACCUGUCUGGGAAUUGUGGACAUAUCGGUAGGACACGGGCAAGGAUUGCCAUCUCGCUCAGCACCUGUUUCCUUGAACGAUGAGAAUAACCCAUCUCUCCUGUUUUAAGUGUGAUUUGUCAUAUACAUCAAUAGGCAUCUUGGCUCAACAUACGAAAGCCCCUUUCCACAGAGACAGCUGCCUCCAGCCUGAAGAAGUUGCCACAGGAGGUAGAAGGAGGUCCCUUGCCCAUGCCUGGGAGACCCAGCCAGAGUGGACAGGGAGGCGGCCCGGGCCGGGGUGCCAGACUCAGCAAAUAAACACAGCAUGCCCAGGUAACUCUGAAUUUCAGAUAACCAACGAAUAACUUUGUGUGAUACUAUAUUUGUACUCAAAAGUAACUCGUUUAUCUGAAAUUCAAAGUUGACGGCGCAUGUGGUACUGUAUUGAAUCUGGCAACGCUCCACCUUGGUUUUCCUACCCGGGUUUGUGGAAGGGGCUCCCCCUGCCCCGCAGGUGCCGCCCCGAGGAGGUGGAGGAGGAGGAGCCGGGCACUGACUGGGGACCCAGGUGAGUCUAGCAAAUGACAAGGCCCAACGGUCAAAACCGCCUCAGUAAUGCGCUCGUCCAAAGCACGCACUUAACGCUCAAUCCUGGUGUCGCGUCCCGUUGCCAGGCAACGAAAGCAAGCGCUGCAAAGACGAAGGGGAGCGCCCAAGGAUGAGGAACGUUCCAAGACACUGAGUGAUUUGCUGAAAAUCACACAUCUAGAUGCAAAGCCAGAAUGCGAGCAGUGACCACCACACUUGACAAAUCCGUUGUUGCACACAUUUGUACUCUUCAAUCAACAAAACCUGAUGCAAAAAACAGAAAAGGGGGAGAUGUACAUGCAUUUUCCCUCACUGCAAAAAAAACACAACUUGUUUAACUACAGGUGUGUUCCUGGUGGUCUUUGAAUGAAGACAUUGACAGAAAGUAACAUAGCAUGCUGGUUAAAGACUGUUUUUAUUCGAAUCCUGGCUUUGCCAAUCAACAGCUGCAUAAAUUAAACUCUCGACCUCAGCUCCCUUAUUUGUAAAACAAGAAUAACAAAAAGACAUUUUUAUAAGGUUGGGUUGAAGGUUAAAUGAAAUAACAGAAGAUUAUCUCUUCACUAAUUUUAGCUGUAGAAAACAGAAGCCAAUCGAAAGAGCUCCCAGUCCAAAGCUGGAACAACUUGAACAACAAAAUAAAUAAUGUAGCAUUGGAUUACAAACCAACCAUAAAACAAAUAUCCAUGAGUCUAUACUGAUGUCAAUAAAUGAAUAAAUGUGGG